rnacentral:lncRNA from 1 species
GAAAAAACCACUCCCAUCCUGUUCUGGAAGCAUCUACCACAAAUGGUCACCGAGAGCAUUACAUGAAAAGGUCCUUAGGAAGCAUCUGGCUGUAGGGCCUGGCGCACAGCCCGCCCAAGGAAAUCCUCCCUGCCUUGCCAACAUCUCGGUCGCUGUCACGCACAUCAGUGAUUCUGCGAGGAAGCGGCAGUGAAGUGGGAGGGAGCAAGUCCUCAGGGCCUGGCUGGGUGGGGCCCGCCCGCGGGGUGGGCCGCUGGGAGGGGCUCAUCUCCAGCCUCCACUGCAGGUACCAGGCGGAGGCUGUCCACCUCCUCCAGCAGAAUGCCUCGGCCGCUGCCAGGGCCUUGCCCGAGGUGCACGUGCUGGCCAACUGCUGCAUCCUCAGGAAAACGUGGCAGGAGCUGAGCCAGCAACAUGUUCCGUGUGCAGACCUGGGCCUGGCUGUGCAAGGCACGAUCCAGCACAUUGAGGACCACAGCCGGGACAACCUCCUGCCUCGAGUCAGGGCCUUGUGCCAGAGUCUGCUAAGGGGCCACUUUGGGAAGAAGGACAAGGAUCUGGUUGGAGCUCUGCAGUCCCUGUGGCAGGGCCUGGAGGGCUGCCCCAACAUGCACUCUACUCCCACGUACAAGAGAAUCAUGCGAAGUUUGCACACGGUGGUCUUUGGGGAGUAUGUCCAGGCCCUGGCCACCCACCUCAGGACGCUGGAGCCUGGGACGUGGGAGGGCCUCGGGGUUCAGGUGGAGACAGACACCAGGAAGUUGCACGACAUCUUCACGAAGCAUGGGGACCUCGGCUUGACCAACCCACAGGAGUCCAUCAUGGGGAUCUUCCAGUCCCGUGAGAACAAGAGCAGGGAGACUGUGGAUGACUGGCUGGCCUCCUUCAGGGACAGAUUCCCAGGUUAUGUGAGCAUUCAGGACCAGCCAUGCAGCUCUGUGGACCUGGACAAGGAGAUUGAGGUCAAGGGAAGCUACUGCCGCUGCUGCUGCUGACACCCCCAGCUCUGGACAAGGUGACCACGGGUGCAAAGCUCCAGAGCACUCCUCCAGGGGAGGCGAUGGGGGAGGGUCCCGCCCUGGGCAGGGUGGGGAGCCAGGUCAAGGGGCACAGUGGAGCAGGGUCCAGCUGCUUUCGGUAGACAAGGCGUCACCUUGUGCUCUAGGCCAGCAGUUCUCAGGAGCUGGUCUCAGGACCCCUUUACUCUGAGCAAUUACUGAACUAAAGAAGUAUAGCUAAUGUGAUUAUACUGAAGAGCUACCGCAUUAGAAAUUAAGACCAAGAAAUAUUUAGUAAUUCAUUUAUUUGUUAAAAUUAGUAAUUCAUUAAAACAGAAAAUUACUAUUUAUUAAAUAACUAUAAACAAAGUAAAUGAUAAAAUGUAUUAUUUAUAUGUGACUAAAUAGAUUUGGAAAUAAAUUAGUAUCUAUAUAAAAAUAAUACUAAUUU